AUACGGAGGAUACGAGCGUUAUCCGGAUUUAUUGGGUUUAAAGGGUGCGUAGGCGGGAGAUUAAGUCGGUGGUGAAAUUUUGCAGCUCAACUGUAAAAGUGCCAUUGAUACUGGUUUCCUUGAGUGUGGAUGAAGUAGGCGGAAUGUGGGGGGUAGCGGGGAAAUGCAUAGAUAUCACGAGGAACUCCGAUUGCGCAGGCAGCUUACUAAACCAUAACUGACGCUCAGGCACGAAGGCGUGGGGAUCAAACAGGAUUAGAUACCCUGGUAGUCCACGCUGUAAACUAUGAUAACUAUCUUUUAGCGAUACACAGUUAGAGGGUACGAGAAAUCAUUAAGUUAUCCACCUGGGGAGUACGGUCGCAAGAAUGAAACUCAAAGGAAUUGACGGGG
rnacentral:rRNA from 1 species